CGCACGUUUCCUUAGAUCCACACUCCGGGUGUGUAAGUGGUGCCAGUAUCCAGUGUUGCUCUUUGCUGGAUUUCUCCCUGUGCACCCAGCAUCCAAACAACCUGACCGGCUGUUCAUGGGGUGUGCUUGAGUCAUUGGCGUGCAACAGUAGAUACACCACUUCGUGUUUAGCGUUUCUUUGUAGUGGGUACAUACAGGUUUGCUCUGAACCUGUGUGGUACUGU
rnacentral:snoRNA from 1 species